CUCCCCUCUGCUUAACUCCUGUCCCUCUAGGGCCCUCUGGUGGCCCAUCAGAGGCCCCUAAAACAGAGUUUCUUAAAGAUACGGGUCUGGACCGAAAAGGGAUCGCAAUACAGUUGGAUGUGUGCACCACAACCUGACAAUGCAUAGACACUCUCAUAUUGGGAAUAGAUAGGGUUCUCACCGCAGUCCCGAGCUGGUAGUACACCACUGCCAGGUCCCCCUCCAGUUCGUGGACCUCCUUGUCAAGGAGGAGCCCUUGUUUCCCAGCGCCCAGCUCCUGGUCGAUGUAGUCCAGGUUCUUCCUGGAUAGCGCUGCCUCCUCCUGUGUUGCCCCACCCCCCAGGUAAGAGCUGAUCCCCUGGACCAGCCCCCUGAUCACCAGGACCAGAACCACAGUUAGAAACCCUCUGGAACGCCCUGCUAGCUAAGUUACUAAUCUAACCUCACUCCACGUUACUUCCUGCUUUGUUUUGUGCUGCAUCAUUCUAUAUCUGCUAAAUGCAGAUUCUAUCUCUCUCCUAACCGUUCCGGGAAGGAGGGAUCCCUCUUCUGUGUUGGUGGUCAAGGUGACCUCCCUCCAGGGUUUAGUGAGAUUGUCUUUGUCCUUCAGAGCCCUGAGGUUUAGAGGGAGUUUUAUCAUUUGGGGCCAGGUGAAGCCCUUUGAGACUGGAAUCGUGACUGUGGGCUGUACAAAUACAACUGACUUGACUUGACAAGAGGCUGACCUAGACCAUGUCUAUAGAGACAUACUGACUUACAUAAUCAUCCGUCUAUGUGUUUAUGCCUGGCUGAACUGUGAGCAUCUAACUCUCGUCACCUCUAUGACCUUCCAUCUGCCACAUAUACACGUUCUUAGGUUCAGAUUUGUAAUUAUGUGGUCAAUGACAUGUUCACUGUUUAUUCUCCCACUGUAAGAAUGUAGUUAUUACCGCAGUAUGUAAAGUGUACAGAGAGGCUAAACUCCCAGGUCAUGAAUGAAGGUCAGAGAAAUGAGCUCACCGCAUCGUCUGCAUGUAGCCCACCGGCUCCAAAACCUUUCCAAACAUCGCCAUGUCACGCUCUGUAACGAAGACGACAACAUUUCAUCAUGAGUUCAAGUUCAAGUUCAACUGUAUUGUGACGUGUUUUAAAGACACCAUCAAAUACUUUGGCCUCUCCCUGCCUUAACACAAAGGACACAUCAGCCACAGAAAAAGACAAAAACCCUACGGAUCUACAUGGACUAUGUGCACAAUGCACUCAUAUGGAUACAUUUAAUACACAAUGUAUACACAUUUGUUUGUGACAGCUGUUCAGCAACCGGAAUGCCUGUGGAAAGAACUAUUACUGAGUCGGAGGGUGGUUGAUUUGAUGCUCCGUUCAAAUUGUAAUGCUAUAAAU
ensembl:lncRNA